AGCAGCCGUGCUAAUUCCAGCUCCAAUAGCGUAUAUUAAAGUUGUCGCAGUUAAAAAGCUCGUAGUUGAAUUUCGGGGUUCUACCGUUGGUCGGGCUUUGUCUGUACUGGCGUGUAGAAUUUCUACCUUCUGGGGAACCAUCAUGUUAUUAAUUUAACGUGGUGGGAAACCAGGACCUUUACCUUGAAAAAAUUAGAGUGUUCAAAGCAGGCUUAUGUCUGAAUACAUUAGCAUGGAAUAAUAAAAUAGGACGGUGGUCCUGUUUUGUUGGUUUCUGAAUCACCGUAAUGAUUAAUAGGGAUAGUUGGGGGCAUUAGUAUUCAAUUGUCAGAGGUGAAAUUCUUGGAUUUAU
rnacentral:rRNA from 1 species